rnacentral:lncRNA from 1 species
GUUUUAGUACUCAUUAAAGAUGUUUUAUAAGUUCAAAUCACUUUUUUCAUCUUAAUCAACUUUAUUUCAAUAAGAACUAAUUCCCAAAUCUCAGUGACUUACACCGAUAUAUUUAUUUCUUAGCAGGUUACAGCUUUUCCUGUACCACACUCCUAGCCACACUCUAAAAGAGCAUCCUCCAUCAGAGACAUGAAGUUUCCACACAGCACAAGGAAAAAGGCAAAACAAACAAACAAACAAACAAACAAAAACCAGACAGAAGAUGAGUACCUUUUAACCUGUUUUGAUUGGUUAUGUAUUUGUCAUUAUUCUCUUGGAUAUAAGUACCACAUGUCAUAUCACCAAACUCAAUGUCAAUGAGUAAGGAAUGAACUGAAGUCUUACUGAGAUGAAAACGGAAGGAGCCUGCAAAAACAUUUCUGCCACUGGAAGAUUUAUUUCUGAACCAACACAACUACAGGAGCAUUUUUAAAUUUUUCUUUUCUGCAGAAACAUUGUAAUCUCUUUAAAGGCACAGAACAGGCCUCAUUCAGUUGAAAACCUUCAUAGAACUUUGCUUGUAGAAUCAAGAGACAUUGCUACAAAAUAGUUGAGUGAGCUUGGGCAAGCUAUUCCACUUCCUUGGGCUUCUUCACUUCCCUCAAGAAACAGCAGGAAAGUCAGAAAAUCCUGCUACAACUGUACACCAGCAGCUUCAAAUCCUGGAGUUCUGCAGCUACAAACCAAUGAGUAACAUCAAUUUAAUAAGAAAACAAUGCUCCAAACUGCUGUGGGAAAAAGAUUAUGUGUUGCUGAAUAUUCCCUCAGGGAGAAGAGCCCAGGAACAAUUGAAAAAAUAGUGGAAUUUGGAUGAUGCGUACAAUCUAGAGGGCUCAGCCCCUAAAGUUGAUUACUGAAGGAAUCGUACACAAAUGUUUAGCCUGAGCUCACUACAAAAUUGAUUAGCCUUCUGCUUCACUUCUUCUGCCUUAAAAUGGCUUAGCUUAAAAAUCUGAC